rnacentral:rRNA from 1 species
GUGGGGAAUAUUGCACAAUGGGCGCAAGCCUGAUGCAGCAACGCCGCGUGAGGGAUGACGGCCUUCGGGUUGUAAACCUCUUUUAGUAGGGAAGAAGCGAAAGUGACGGUACCUGCAGAAAAAGCACCGGCUAACUACGUGCCAGCAGCCGCGGUAAUACGUAGGGUGCAAGCGUUGUCCGGAAUUAUUGGGCGUAAAGAGCUCGUAGGCGGUCCGUCGCGUCUGCUGUGAAAACCCGAGGCUCAACCUCGGGCCUGCAGUGGGUACGGGCGGACUAGAGUGCGGUAGGGGAGAUUGGAACUCCUGGUGUAGCGGUGGAAUGCGCAGAUAUCAGGAAGAACACCGAUGGCGAAGGCAGAUCUCUGGGCCGUAACUGACGCUGAGGAGCGAAAGCAUGGGGAGCGAACAGGAUUAGAAACCCUAGUAGUCC